rnacentral:rRNA from 1 species
AGCAGCCGCGGUAAUUCCAGCUCCAAUAGCGUAUAUUAAAGUUGUUGCAGUUAAAAAGCUCGUAGUUGAAUUUCGGGAUUGACGUGAUGGUCAUGCCUUAAGGGGUAUGAACUGUUACUGUUGAUUUCUCACCUUCUGGAGAAACUUGAUGUCCUUUAUUGGGUGUCUUGCGGAUCCAGGACCUUUACCUUGAAAAAGUUAGAGUGUUUAAAGCAGGCAUUUUUGCUCGAAUACAUUAGCAUGGAAUAAUAGAAUAGGACGGCAUGGUUCUAUUUUGUUGGUUUCUAGGAUCACCGUAAUGAUUAAUAGGGAUAGUUGGGGGCAUUAGUAUUCAAUUGUCAGAGGUGAAAUUCUUGGAUUUAUUGAAGACUAACUACUGCGAAAGCAUUUGCCAAGGAUGUUUUCAUUAAUCAAGAACGAAAGUUAGGGGAUCGAAGACGAUCAGAUACCGUCGUAGUCUUAACCAUAAACUAUGCCGACUAGGA